rnacentral:tRNA from 1 species
GGCUGAGUAGCAAAGAGGUUAUGCUGCGGUUUGCAAAACCGCCUAGCCCGGUUCGAUUCCGGGCUCAGCCUCCA